rnacentral:rRNA from 1 species
UACGUAGGGUGCGAGCGUUGUCCGGAAUUAUUGGGCGUAAAGAGCUUGUAGGCGGUUUGUCGCGUCUGCCGUGAAAAUUCGAGGCUCAACCUCGAACUUGCGGUGGGUACGGGCAGACUAGAGUGUGGUAGGGGAGACUGGAAUUCCUGGUGUAGCGGUGAAAUGCGCAGAUAUCAGGAGGAACACCGAUGGCGAAGGCAGGUCUCUGGGCCACUACUGACGCUGAGAAGCGAAAGCAUGGGGAGCAAACGGG